rnacentral:sRNA from 1 species
GCUACAGAUGAGCGGUAUGGAUGACUUCUUACGACCGGAUCGAUUCGAUCGUAUUAUGCAAAUGACAAAACCAGAUCAAUUCAUUCAAGAGCAACAUUCAUGGAAUCCAGAAGAUCGAUCAUUGAACAUAUUCGUGAAAGACGAGGACAAAUUCACAUUCCACCGGCACCCUGUCGCACAAAGUACAGAUUGUAUUCGCGGAAAGAUGGGCUACAGCCGGGGAUUCCACGUAUGGCAAAUCGAAUGGCCUGAACGGCAGCGAGGAACACAUGCUGUGGUUGGAGUUGCGACGAAGAAUGCUCCACUACACGCUGCCGGAUAUACGGCAUUGAUUGGUACCACUGAUGAGAGUUAUGGAUGGGAUAUUA